ensembl:lncRNA GTPase IMAP family member 8-like
GUGUGUGAGUGUGUGUGUGUGUGUGUGUGUGAGUUCAGUGUUGGUCGAUCAGGCUCCUCCUCGUCAGGUAACAAACUGAAAGUAUCUAAACGCUACUUCUGUCUUUUGACCAAAUCCUCGACGUGUGUCAUUUAAAGAGCCUGAUUUAUUAACCUUUUGUGCUGGAUUUGUUUUCUGAGAAGAGUUAUUCUUGUGAUCUUUCACUAAAGAUGGUGGAGAGACCUACAGUGAUCAUCUUCAGUCCAGAUGAUGCUGUGAUCCGGAUUCUUCUGCUGGGCAGAAACACUUCUGGGAAAAGCUCAUCUGGGAACACUAUACUGGGAGAAGAGAGGUUUAAAAGGCACGAGUCUGAGGUGUGUGAGGGUCAAGCUCAGAUCUGUGGGAAGCAGGUUGCUGUGAUUGAUUGUCCAGAUCUACUGGAUCCAGAUCUGAAUGAAGAGCAGCUGGAGAAGAUGAAAGUUGAGGGAAUGAUGACGGAGAACGGAGGGAAAUUUAUGAUGGAACAAAUGAAGAGGAAUAACAGCAAAGACACUCCUCGUGUCAUUUUUUCAGAGAGGAAAGACCAGAUCAGACCGGUUCUGCUGGGAAAAGUGCCGAUGAAAACAGCAUGGUCUGCAGAAACAUGUUUGAAUCUUUGACACAGUGUGACUCAGAAACCCACGAGAGCAACAAGAUCUCAGAGAUCGACACACCAGCGCUCGUUUACACCAGCUGUUAGUGAGGAAAACCACACUUAGACGUGAUGCAAAAAAUUCCCACACUACUAAUAUCUGACCAUUUCACUAUUAAACUGUGUUGAAUUGUACGUCCACAUAUAUAAGCUAAAUAUUCACGGCAAUCUCCAAUCAGGCAAGCUCAGUAAGCUCAUGUCUUACCUGACAGACUUCAGUGCUUUAGGCAGAUAUGAUGAUGUUUGACAUUUAACUCGAUUACUUGUUAAGAGCAAGAACAUUAUGAGAAUAAAUGACUCUCCGUUUGCAUCGCUGCAUGCUGUGUGCCAAAGAAAUCGAUCGAGAUGUCUUGUGUUUUUGUGUGUCAGUAUUUACUUAUUGCUUAUAUGAGUGUAAUUUACUACAACAGUACCUUAUUUCAUGUUCAGUAUUUCAGGGGAAACUACUGUUAGUUGCUAAAUGUUUUCUUUAGUACAGGUAUUUACUUUUUAAGUCAGGUUCAGAAACUUUAGUUUGGUCUAAAUUAAAGCCAUUAAGUAAAACUGAUCAUCUCUUGGCUAUUUUUUUUUUCUUUCUGUUAAUACAUAUGUGUACUAUUUGUAAGCACUCUUAAAUUGAGAGAGAGAGGGAGAGAGAGAGAGAGAGAGAGAGAGAGAGAGAGAGAGACAGAUGUUUUCUUUAGUACAGGUAUUUACUUUUUAAGUCAGGUUCAGAAACUUUAGUUUGGUCUAAAUUAAAGCCAUUGAGUAAAACUGAUCAUCUCUUGGCUAACUCUUCUUUAUUUUACUCCCGACACAAAUGAACUGUGAACUCGAUAGAUUAAUAAAUGGCCUGUUAUUGUUGAC